rnacentral:rRNA from 1 species
UACGAAGGGGGCUAGCGUUGCUCGGAAUCACUGGGCGUAAAGCGCACGUAGGCGGAUUGCUAAGUCAGGGGUGAAAUCCUGGAGCUCAACUCCAGAACUGCCUUUGAUACUGGCAACCUAGAGGCUGGAAGAGGUUAGUGGAAUUCCCAGUGUAGAGGUGAAAUUCGUAGAUAUUCGCAAGAACACCAGUGGCGAAGGCGGCUCACUGGCCCGGUACUGACGCUGAGGUGCGAAAGCGUGGGGAGCAAACAGG